GAUAAUCUAUUUGAUUUUCUCUCCCAUUGGAUAACCGUGGGAAAUCUAGAGCUAAUACGUGCGGUAUCUUGACGUUGUCUUCGGACUCGUCAAAGCAUUUAUUAGUCUAAACCAUCAACUGUGUCUCGGCACGGUGAGGUGAAUCUGGAUAACUUUGCUGAUCGUAUGGCCUAGUGCCGGCGACGUUUCAAUUGAGUUUCUGCCCUAUCAACUUGUUGGUAAGGUAUUGGCUUACCAAGGUUGCAACGGGUAACGGGGAAUCAGGGUUCGAUUCCGGAGAGGGAGCCUGAGAAACGGCUACCACAUCCAAGGAAGGCAACAGGCGCGCAAAUUACCCAAUCUAGACAGUAGGAGGUGGUGAAGAGAAUUACUAAAUGGUGGUCCAAUGGAUCACUUGUUUGGAAUGAACGUAACUUAAGAAAUUCGUUGAUAAACAACUGGAGGGCAAGUCCUGGUGCCAGCAGCCGCGGUAAUUCCAGCUCCAGUAGUCUGCUUUAAAGUUGUUGCGUUUAAAACGCUCGUAGUUGGAUCACGCAGCAGUGUCUAGUUAUCUAUGGCUGGAUUCUGCUGGAUGCGUCCGUCUCAGACGGCCAUUCGGCAUUCUCUGGCGUUAGAUGCUAUGCUGGACGCUGUUAUUUGCACGUGAGAUAGAUUGUUGGCCUUUAAUGCGCCGGUAUUCUCGUCUUGCGGAGUGUGCCUUGAAUAAAACAGAGUGCUUAAAGCAGGUUUUUGCCUGAAUGUUAUAGCAUGGAACGAACAAUCGUGUAUAUGUGCGUGCUAUUGGAUAGUUACGAGCCUUUGGUUUGUAGUUGUCUGUGGCGCGCACGGCACCCGCCUAAAUAUGUGAGUUGGUUACAUAUACGGUGAUGAUUAACAGGAGCGGUUGGGGGCAUCAGUAUUUGUCCGCGAGAGGUGAAAUUCUUAGACCGGGCAAGGACUAACAAAUGCAAAGGCACUUGUCUAGACCGUAUCCAUUAAUCAAGAACGAAAGUGGGAGGUUCGAAGACGAUCAGAUACCGUCAUAGUUCCCACCGUAAACUAUGCCGACCUGGGAUCAGUUUGGUGAUAUACAAGCUCCAAAUUGGUCCCCCUGGGAAACCUAAAGUUUUUCGGUUACGGGGAGAGUAUGGUCGCAAGGCUGAAACUUAAAGGAAUUGACGGAAGGGCACCACCAGGGGUGGAGCCUGCGGCUUAAUUUGACUCAACACGGGGAAACUUACCUGGUCCGGACAUCGAUAGGAUUUACAGAUCAAUAGCUCUUUAAUGAUCCGAUGAGUGGUGGUGCAUGGCCGUUCUUAGUUCGUGGAGUGAUCUGUCAGUUUAAUUACGGUAACGAACGAGACCACAGUCUCCAUUUAAAAGAUGGAAGAAGGUGGCAUCUACGUGGUCGUAAGACCGUGUGGGUGUUGCUGCGGGGUGAGGAGUGUGCUUUAUGAUUGACUGAUGGGGAAACCUAUUGGUUGAUUGUAUUGUGUGCUACUCACUCCUUUCAUUACGCAGCAGUCGGUCUCGGCUGGCUGUUGCCUUAUGGAGAGACAACGAGGUAUAAACAAGCUCGAGGAAGAGUGGCUCUCAAC
rnacentral:rRNA from 1 species